GCUCCAAUAGCGUAUAUUAAAGUUGUUGCAGUUAAAACGCUCGUAGUCUGAGAUGUGAGAGUGGGGAUGGGGGGUAAUGUAAAUUGCUUCUUGUUUUCGCCUCAUUUUGUGUAUUUAUUUACACGAGUUACUUUGAGGAAAUUAGGGUGUUCAAAGCAGGCGUUUGCUUGGAUACUGCAGCAUGGAAUAACGGAAUAGGA
rnacentral:rRNA from 1 species